rnacentral:rRNA from 1 species
GACGAACGCUGGCGGCGUGCUUAACACAUGCAAGUCGAACGGAAAGGCCCUGCUUUUGUGGGGUGCUCGAGUGGCGAACGGGUGAGUAACACGUGAGUAACCUGCCCUUGACUUUGGGAUAACUUCAGGAAACUGGGGCUAAUACCGGAUAGGAGCUCCUGCUGCAUGGUGGGGGUUGGAAAGUUUCGGCGGUUGGGGAUGGACUCGCGGCUUAUCAGCUUGUGGGUGGGGUAGUGGCUUACCAAGGCUUUGACGGGUAGCCGGCCUGAGAGGGUGACCGGCCACAUUGGGACUGAGAUACGGCCCAGACUCCUCCGGGAGGCAGCAGUGGGGAAUAUUGCACAAUGGGCGGAAGCCUGAUGCAGCAACGCCGCGUGCGGGAUGACGGCCUUCGGGUUGUAAACCGCUUUCGCCUGUGACGAAGCGUGAGUGACGGUAAUGGGUAAAGAAGCACCGGCUAACUACGUG